UACAGGGGGGGCAAGCGUUGUUCGGAAUUACUGGGCGUAAAGGGCUCGUAGGUGGCCAACUAAGUCAGACGUGAAAUCCCUCAGCUUAACUGGGGAACUGCGUCUGAUACUGGAUGGCUUGAGUUUGGGAGAGGGAUGCGGAAUUCCAGGUGUAGCGGUGAAAUGCGUAGAUAUCUGGAGGAACACCGGUGGCGAAAGCGGCGCACUGGACCACAUCUGACGCUGAGGCGCGAAAGCUAGGGGAGCAAACGGG
rnacentral:rRNA from 1 species